GCCAUUAUUCUUUAUUCAGAAUAAAAUUCAAAAAUAUAGAGAUAAACAGAAAAAUCACCUUUUGCGAAUAGUCUGUUUAAUGGAGGCUUUGCGAUUACAAUAAUCACUACCUUCUAACAUUAAAAUGUAAGGAUGCCAACAAUAAAUCAAACCAUUAUAGAGGUUUCAGAGAGCAGGGAUCCACAGCAUCUCAAUGGACAGAUGGAGGGUCAAAUAGAGUAAGAGGAGCCCUUGGAAAGUGUCCCAGAAGUAGUGAGAAAGAGGAAAAACAGCAUUCUGACAUAACUUUGCAAAGCUUCAUUUUUUUUUUUUCUUUUUUUGUCUUUUUGCUAUUUCUUGGGCCGUUCCCUUGGCAUAUGGAGGUUCCCAGUUUUCUGCAUUUAGAGGUUGUGUUCCUCAGGGCCAGGAGGAACCUUUCCUGGUUGCCAAGCUCCUGUUUUAGAGGGAAAGUGCAGACUGAAAACCACUGAGGCCACAUUUGAGUAACAAGGGAUUUAGAUGGGAAAUCUCAGGCAUUUCCCAGCUAAAGUCUCUUAUCAAGGUCAUAAACAUUGGAGAUUGUCUUGAGGCACCGAGCUAAUAUCACCGUAUUGGUGGUAGCAAACCAAAGUCAGGUCCACUCACCAUGCACAGUAAAGCCAAUCUACUGACACUAGGUUGUGGUGCCAGGAAAGUGUAGCAUUUAUUGCAGGGAGCAAAGCAGAGUCAGGCAGCUAACGCUUCAAAGACCUGCACUCCCUGAUGGCUUCCAGGCAAAGGCUUUUAAAGACCAGAUGAGGGAGGGGGAGUGUGGGGUGCGUGCUCAGCUCAUGGACAGUCUUCCGCUUGGUGGGUGGUGAGGUCAUGGGGAGUCAACAUCCUCAACUUUCCGGUUCCACCUGGUCUAGGGUCCAUGUGGGCAGCAUAGAGUUAACGUGUACCUGGCGGGGGUUUCUGCAAAACAGCUCCAAGGAUAUGGCUCGGGAUAUUAUCUCUAACCCUUGAGGAAGAACUAAAAGUACUUGGGGGUUCCCAUCAUGGCGCAGAGGAAAUGAAUCCGACUAGGAACCAUGAGGGUGUGGGUACAAUCCCCGUCUCGCUCAGUGGGUUAAGGAUCUGGCAUUGUCAUGAGCUGUGGUGUAGGUCGCAGAUGCGGCUCAGAUCCUGAAUUGCUGUGGCUGUGGCCGGCAGCUGUAGCUUCGAUUCAACCCCUGACCUGGGAAUCUCCACGUGCCAUGCGCGUGGCCCUAAAAGCAAAAAUAAAUAAAUAAAUAAAUAAAAAUAAUAAAAGUACCUGACUUUGUUUAAUGACUCGACUGCUAUUAUUUUCUCUGGCUUGAAUGUUUUCCUUUCUGCAUUUUCUCACUUCUCUGAUUAAAUAUAUUUUUUAGAACUCAGGGAAGGCC
rnacentral:lncRNA from 1 species